rnacentral:rRNA from 1 species
CCCUUAGAUGUCCUGGGCCGCACGCGCGCUACACUGACAUGUUCAACAAGCCUCCUAGUUCGACAGGAUUUGGGAAAUCUUUGAACGCAUGUCGUGAUAGGGAUAGAUCAUUGCAAUUAUUGAUCUUGAACGAGGAAUUCCUAGUAAGCGCGAGUCAUCAGCUCGCGCUGAUUACGUCCCUGCCCUUUGUACACACCGCCCGUCGCUACUACCGAUUGGAUGGUUUAGCGAGAACUUUGGACCGGAGCUCGGGUGGUCAGCAAUGGCCGCCCGAGACAUACUGGGAAAUCGCUCCAGCUUGAUCAUCUAGAGGAAGUAAAAGUCGUAACA